rnacentral:rRNA from 1 species
GACGAACGCUGGCGGCGUGCUUAACACAUGCAAGUCGAACGAUGAAGCCGGAGCUUGCUCUGGUGAAUUAGUGGCGAACGGGUGAGUAACACGUGAGUAACCUGCCCUUGACUCUGGGAUAACUGCGGGAAACUGUAGCUAAUACCGGAUACGACCCUCGGAGGCAUCUCCUGGGGGUGGAAAGAAUUUCGGUCAAGGAUGGACUCGCGGCCUAUCAGCUAGUUGGUGAGGUAAAGGCUCACCAAGGCGACGACGGGUAGCCGGCCUGAGAGGGGAACCGGCCACACUGGGGAUGAGACACGGCCCAGAGUCCUACGGGAGGCAGCGGUGGGGAAUAUUGCACAAUGGGCGCAAGCCUGAUGCAGCAACGCCGCGUGAGGGAUGACGGCCUUCGGGUUGUAAACCUCUUUUAGCAGGGAAGAAGCGAAAGUGACGGUACCUGCAGAAAAAGCACCGGCUAACUACGUGCCAGCCGCCGCGGUAA